rnacentral:lncRNA from 1 species
CACACUCCAGGAUCCGGGGGCUCCUUUUCCCCGGGUGUUCACUCUGUCUACUGGCAGGGGGGCGGGCGGGCUGGAAGAGGAUGGGCCCCCCACACAUCCAUGAGCCCAGAACAAGGGCCGGGCUGGGGACCACGGGACCACGAACGGGUCCUGUGGCCCAGGUCUGAUGCUGAUCAGAGAGUGAGCAGGAGAAAGCAGGGCCCGCUUUAGGAGCCACACGCUGUUCUCGAGAUUGACAAUCUGCUCCAUCCUGCGUUACUGUCCCAACCCAGCGGCGAGGUGGCUGCUGUCACCCCCAGGUUACAGACGGCAAGUGAGUCAACAGAUGGCAUCAAAGCGGAAUGCUGGGACUACUUCCUCCUUCAACCCCAGAGCAGACCCAGCUCCCAAGUGCCCUGUGAUCACAGCUGUGAAGAGCAUGCUCUUGGCAGGACGCCACAAGGAUGACAAGUGUUGUCCUUGACUUUGUCACACUGACGUGUUGUAACGCCCAGAGACAGUUCAAGGCACUGGGCACCGUGAGCAGCACGUCCACACGCAGCCUCGUGCUAGGUGCUGUGGGGAAGUGGGGACAACAGGUGCACCCUGGCCACAAGCGACUCCCACUGCAGUCAGAAGAAGGAGUGAUCUGUAGAUGCCAUCAGCUCUUAGCGGACCCUCUCUGUGCCCUGCCUCUACCUUGCCUGAGCUUAAGUCUCAUCUCGGAUGCUUGGAUGCGGAUCCUUGGAUGCGGCAGCCAGGCCAGCUGGCACGACCAGCUGUGUGAGCCCAGGAAAGGUCUGAGAGGUUAAGAGGGAGAGGUCGUUCUGGCAUCAGGGGAGCCCAGUCCCCGCAUCAACCAUCCUCGGUGGCCAUCGGCCUUGGCCAGCUUCUGCCGUUCUCAUAGCCUGUUUCUGAGGUCCGUGGCUGCCUCGUUCUCUUGUUCUCUUUCACAAGGUCCUCCUGGCCUGGGUCUGGGCUCUCUGGGUCCUGCAGCCCUCCAUCGGCAGCUGCCCACACCUCAGGGGGCUUGGGUUCCCACCCAAAGCUUCCCAGACAGGUGCCAAGCAGGGGUGCACAAGACCGAGGCUGAGAGAUCCCUCGAGAAGCCACUCUGUGCUCUGCAGCCCCAGGGCUUCCUCCCGUGCCGGUCAUGGGCACAGAAGCAAGGCAUGGUUGUCUCGGCUGGCCCCUCACAUUCAUCUAGGGCUGUUCUCACACUCCCACCCACUGUCCACCUCUCCCCAAAGAGGCAGAGCAUUCUGGGUGCUAAAAGUCAGGCCUUACGACACCACGGGAGAAGGAAGAAAUGGCAUCGACCACGGUGGCCUUGCAAAGGAGACAUUCUCUUAUAAAGGAGACAUUCUCCGUCAUCCAGAAGAUGUAAUGCCACCCUGAAAGGUAGAGCCAUUCGUCCACACUCACACAGUCAACAAAUGUGACAACCAGGCAUCUCCCCAAACUCUGUUACCUCCUGCCUAUGUCAUGGACCACUGCACAUCCAUCAUGGUGUCCCCAACACAGCACAACCCUUCCCUGCGUACUGGGGGGGGGGUCCCCCUUCUGCACAGAUGCAGGCACUCUGCAUACCCCCUAUUACAUCAGAGUUAGCAGAAAGUGACCCAAAUGGAACGGCACACACCCCAUGGGCAGAAAAUGAGAUGUAAAAUCCUAUCGGUCCCUCUGACAGUUAAAGUAAAAUUUUAUGCGAGCAAUAUACUCUCGCUCUGAUUACCAUGCAGUAUAAUUUUAUUCUGGUUUUUCUGGGCCUGCUGAACCCCCUGCUCUUUUAAGUGUUCAAAUGCUCUGCUUGCCAAGAUAAAUGAUUAUAAUUGACAGGGCAUUGUCAAUCUAUAGCGAAGCCGAUUUCAUUAAGCAUGCCAAGGGCCAGCUCUGGGGGCAGGUAGCUGAGCGGAGAGGGGUUUUGAUCUCACCCUCUCCCUGUAGUACAGUCCACACUGGUACCAAAGGCUGGAGGGCAAGAGAACAAAGGAAACGUUAUGUCUCUGAAUUCAAAUCUUUCCCUUUGAAAUGAGGCGUCCGGAAUGGCCAAUAAAACUGUGGAAAUGGAUUUCUGGCUGCA